GACGAACGCUGGCGGCGUGCCUAACACAUGCAAGUCGAGCGAUGAAGCCCUUCGGGGUGGAUUAGCGGCGGACGGGUGAGUAACACAUGGGUAACCUGCCUCAAAGAGGGGGAUAGCCUCCCGAGAGGGAGAUUAAUACCGCAUAACAUUAGGUUUUCGCAUGAAGAACUAAUUAAAGGAGUAAUCCGCUUUGAGAUGGACCCGCGGCGCAUUAGCUAGUUGGUGAGGUAAAGGCUCACCAAGGCGACGAUGCGUAGCCGACCUGAGAGGGUGAUCGGCCACAUUGGAACUGAGACACGGUCCAGACUCCUACGGGAGGCAGCAGUGGGGAAUAUUGCACAAUGGGCGAAAGCCUGAUGCAGCAACGCCGCGUGAGUGAUGAAGGCCUUCGGGUUGUAAAGCUCUGUCUUUGGGGACGAUAAUGACGGUACCCAAGGAGGAAGCCACGGCUAACUACGUGCCAGCCGCCGCAGUAA
rnacentral:rRNA from 1 species